AUUUUCUCAUCCAAGGGCCAAAAAAUAUUUUCUGUCUUAAGAAGUUUUUUUUUUUUGAGAAAUAGAUAGCACGCUACCCGCUUCGUUUAUUUCAUUUAGAAAUAAAUUUAGCUAGAAAUGUGAAUUAAUUAGGAUUCGAACUUGGAUCUCGGGUACCAACCACCAAAUCCUUUAUCACUUGCUCUAGGGACAGUCGGUCUGUCUUAAGAAGUUUUGUUUUUAAUACUAAAAGUUCAAAUAAUUUUCUAAACCCAAGGAUCAGAGAGAAUGUAAGAUGUAUGCUCUCUUUUAGGAGAUUUGUUUAUAUAAUGUUAUUCAAUUUAUAUGAUUCU
rnacentral:lncRNA from 1 species